rnacentral:rRNA from 1 species
AACGUAGGGGGCUAGCGUUGUUCGGAAUUACUGGGCGUAAAGCGCGUGUAGGCGGUUUAGUAAGUCAGGAGUGAAAUCCCUCGGCUCAACCGAGGAACUGCUUUUGAAACUACUAAACUUGAGUAUGGGCGGGGAGAGCGGAAUUCCCGGUGUAGCGGUGAAAUGCGUAGAUAUCGGGAAGAACACCAGUGGCGAAGGCGGCUCUCUGGACCAUCACUGACGCUGAGACGCGAAAGCGUGGGUAGCAAAC